GACGAACGCUGGCGGCGUGCCUAACACAUGCAAGUCGAACGGGACUUAGUGGAAUGCGACUUCGGUCAAAGGAAGCUGAGUUUAGUGGCGGACGGGUGAGUAACGCGUGAGGAACCUGCCUUUCAGUGGGGGACAACAGUUGGAAACGACUGCUAAUACCGCAUAACACUUUAGUACCGCAUGGUACAGAAGUCAAAGCUUAAUGUGCUGAAAGAUGGUCUCGCGUCUGAUUAGCUAGAUGGCGGGGUAACGGCCCACCAUGGCGACGAUCAGUAGCCGGUCUGAGAGGAUGAACGGCCACAUUGGGACUGAGACACGGCCCAGACUCCUACGGGAGGCAGCAGUGGGGGAUAUUGCACAAUGGGGGAAACCCUGAUGCAGCAAUGCCGCGUGAGGGAAGAAGGUCUUCGGAUUGUAAACCUAAGUAGUCAGGGACGAAUAAUGACGGUACCUGAAGAGUAAGCUCCGGCUAACUACGUGCCAGCAGCCGCGGU
rnacentral:rRNA from 1 species